rnacentral:rRNA from 1 species
UACAGAGGGGGCAAGCGUUGUUCGGAAUUACUGGGCGUAAAGGGCGCGUAGGCGGCCCUCUAAGUCGGACGUGAAAUCCCUCGGCUCAACCGAGGAACUGCGUCCGAUACUGGAGGGCUUGAAUCCGGGAGAGGGAUGUGGAAUUCCAGGUGUAGCGGUGAAAUGCGUAGAUAUCUGGAGGAACACCGGUGGCGAAGGCGGCAUCCUGGACCGGUAUUGACGCUGAGGCGCGAAAGCUAGGGUAGCAAACGGG